rnacentral:rRNA from 1 species
UACGGGGGGAGCAAGCGUUGUUCGGAUUUACUGGGCGUAAAGGGCGCGUAGGCGGCGUGACAAGUCACUUGUGAAAUCUCCGGGCUUAACCCGGAGCGGCCAAGUGAUACUGUCGUGCUAGAGUGCGGAAGGGGCUACUGGAAUUCUCGGUGUAGCGGUGAAAUGCGUAGAUAUCGAGAGGAACACCUGCGGCGAAGGCGGGUAGCUGGGCCGACACGUGACGCUGAGGCGCGAAAGC